AAGGACUGCAGGGGAGAUUCUUUUGGUUUGGAGACACCUGUAGGAGAAGUUAGACAAAAUGGAACCACGAUGAUCUGGACGGUUGACAGACUGACUGAAUGGGACACAUAUCUCAUCUGUUAUUAUAACACUGAUGAUGGUGAUCAGUGUACUAGCACUGUGGAUAUAACCAUCUACCAGCCUCCAGAAAGUGUCUCCAUCAGCUUUGUAAACCACACUGGGAUGAUGUUUGAGAAUCAGCAGUACACCCUGCAGUGUAGCGUACAGAACGUAGCUCCUGUUCAACCUCACUGUGACCUUCUACAGAGGAAACACAGCACUGGGUCACCUACAGGCCAACAGUGAACAUAAGAAACCAGUGAAUGAGACCUUUACUCUGAACAUCACUCCCAGUAGAGAACAUGAUGGAGCCCAGUACUGGUGUGAAACCAAGCUGGAGCUGGGACCACCUACAUCACAGCGCCCUCCAGUGGUGACAUCAGAAAAACUCCCUGCUAUAGUUCACUAUGGGCCUGAGCUAAAGGAGCCACCAAAUCCAGAUGUGAUCACAAUCACAGAAGGAGACACUCUACACCUGAACUGCUCCUCUGUGGAAACCCCAGCCCCUCAUACACCUGGACACUUCCAACAAAUAGUCCUUCCUACAGUGGCAGCGUUCUCACUAUUAAAUCUGUCGGCUUUGAGCAUGAAGGACAGUAUAUCUGCACUGUGAGCAACCCUAUAGGGACUGUCACCAAGGAGUUUAACAUUGAUGUACAAGUCAACUCCAUCCCAUAUAUAAUAGCUGGGAUGAUACUGGGAGCUCUGGUCCUUGUCGGACUGUCAGUGGGAUGCUACUGCAAACACAACUGAAUGGGACACAGCAAACUCAGUAAAAUUAUUGUUACUGACAGCUGAAGAAAUGACUGAAUGGUUAAAAUAUAUUUUUGAUUCUGAUUCUGAUGAGCAGCUUGUAACUUUCUAGCUUCUAAGUAAACUUGUUGUUUGGAAAAAGCACAUUUCCAAGGGAAGGUCUCCCCAUUUUUCCAUCUCUUUGUUUAAAUGUUACAGGU